rnacentral:rRNA from 1 species
GAGCUUGCUCUCCUGAUGGUUAGCGGCGGACGGGUGAGUAACACGUAGGCAACCUGCCUGCAAGACCGGGAUAACCCACGGAAACGUGAGCUAAUACCGGAUAUCUCAUUUCCUCUCCUGAGGGGAUGAUGAAAGACGGAGCAAUCUGUCACUUGCGGAUGGGCCUGCGGCGCAUUAGCUAGUUGGUGAGGUAACGGCUCACCAAGGCGACGAUGCGUAGCCGACCUGAGAGGGUGAACGGCCACACUGGGACUGAGACACGGCCCAGACUCCUACGGGAGGCAGCAGUAGGGAAUCUUCCGCAAUGGGCGAAAGCCUGACGGAGCAACGCCGCGUGAGUGAUGAAGGUUUUCGGAUCGUAAAGCUCUGUUGCCAGGGAAGAACGUCCGGUAGAGUAACUGCUAUCGGAGUGACGGUACCUGAGAAGAAAGCCCCGGCUAACUACGUGCCAGCAGCCGCGGUAAUACGUAGGGGGCAAUCGUUGUCCGGAAUUAUUGGGCGUAAAGCGCGCGCAGGCGGUCAUUUAAGUCUGGUGUUUAAGGCCAGGGCUCAACCUUGGUUCGCACUGGAGACUGGGUGACUUGAGUGC